GACGAACGCUGGCGGCGGGCUUAACACAUCAGCAAUUGAUUGGUGGCGGACGGGUGAGUAACGCGUAAAGAACUUGCCUCACAGGUAGGGACAACAUUUGGAAACGAAUGCUAAUACCUAAUACUGUGAGAGAGCUUUGCGUCCCAUUAGCUAGUGGGAGAGGUAACGGCUCACCAAGGCGAGGAUGGGUAGCCGGCCUGAGAGGGUGAACGGCCACAAGGGGAAUGGGACACGGCCCGUACUCCUACGGGAGGCAGCAGUGGGGAAUAUUGGACAAUGGACAAAAGUGUGAUCCAGGAAUUCGGUGUGCACGAUGAAGUUUUCGGAAUGUAAAGUGCUUGCAGUUGGGAAGCGGUACCAACAGAAGAAGUGACGGCUAAAUACGUGCCAGCAGCCGCGGUAAUAC
rnacentral:rRNA from 1 species